AGGCGGCGUGCUAUACAUGCAAGUCGAGCGCAGGAAGCUCACGGAACUCUUCGGAGGGAAGUGAAGGGAAUGAGCGGCGGACGGGUGAGUAACACGUAAGGAACCUGCCCCAAGGAUUGGGAUAACUCCGAGAAAUCGGAGCUAAUACCGAAUAGUUCUUCAGACCGCAUGGUCUGAUGAUGAAAGGCGCUUCGGCGUCACCUUGGGAUGGCCUUGCGGUGCAUUAGCUAGUUGGUGGGGUAAUGGCCCACCAAGGCGACGAUGCAUAGCCGACCUGAGAGGGUGAUCGGCCACACUGGGACUGAGACACGGCCCAGACUCCUACGGGAGGCAGCAGUAGGGAAUCUUCCACAAUGGACGAAAGUCUGAUGGAGCAACGCCGCGUGAGUGAUGAAGGUUUUCGGAUCGUAAAACUCUGUUGUAAGGGAAGAACAGGUAUGAGAGGUAAUGCUCAUGCUAUGACGGUACCUUGCGAGAAAGCCACGGCUAACUACGUGCCAGCAGCCGCGGUAAUACGUAGGUGGCAAGCGUUGUCCGGAAUUAUUGGGCGUAAAGCGCGCGCAGGCGGCCUUUUAAGUCUGAUGUGAAAGCCCCCGGCUCAACCGGGGAGGGUCAUUGGAAACUGGAAGGCUUGAGUACAGAAGAGAAGAGUGGAAUUCCAUGUGUAGCGGUGAAAUGCGUAGAGAUGUGGAGGAACACCAGUGGCGAAGGCGACUCUUUGGUCUGUAACUGACGCUGAGGCGCGAAAGCGUGGGGAGCAAACAGGAUUAGAUACCCUGGUAGUCCACGCCGUAAACGAUGAGUGCUAGGUGUUGGGGGGUUUCCGCCCCUCAGUGCUGAAGCUAACGCAUUAAGCACUCCGCCUGGGGGAGUACGGCCGCAAGGCUGAAACUCAGAGGGUGUGUGUGUG
rnacentral:rRNA from 1 species